rnacentral:misc_RNA from 1 species
UCCCGCACAAAGACUUUCCAACAACACCCUCGCCCCCAACAAAGCCGGCCCUUCGACAGACCCACUCGUCAGGCCACAACCCCCAUAUAAAGCCGCAGUAAUCUGCCCAAGAGAAAGCCUCAAGCAUGCGCCGUCUGUCUAGCCAGCUUAUGUGCACCGCUGCCGCGGCCCGCUUCGCGUCCGCCGGCGGCGCGAAGAAGUACGACCUGUUCGGCUACGAGGUGGACACGAACACGGCGCUGUGGAUCGACAAGGUGAAGAAGUGCCGCUACUACGACGAGGCCGGCGAGGUGCUGGUGAACAUGAACGUGAAGAACUGCCCGCCGGAUCUGGAGACGUACAACGCGACGCUGCAGAAGAUCUACGAAGCGCCGAGCAAGCAGGACAAGCCAGUGGAGAACGAGAGCAAGUUCUGCGCGAUGAUGGACCUGAUGGAGGAGAUGCAGCACCGCAACAAGGUGAAGCCGAACGAGGAGUCGUGGACGUGGGUGUUGAAGGAGUGCGUGCAGAGCGGGCAGUUCCGCCUCGGCUACUGCGUUGCGAAGCUGAUGGAGGCUGAGUUCAAGCGGGUGCCGGCGGAGCUUGUGCAGCAGAACGAGGCAAACGCUUCGAAGGCGAAGGCGGACGGCAAGGAGCACCCGAGCACGCUGGCGCAGCAGCAGAGCCUGUUCGACAUCAAGAUCCAGUAAGACGCUGCAUAUGUCGCGUGCCACUUGCACUUUCUUCCACGCCCCCUCCCACUCCCACUUUUAUGGCAGUUCGUGGACGGCUCGGUACGGAGGAUGCAUUGCAUCCGCGCCUGGGCGAAGGGAAUCUUGAUCGUAUCGUUAAGGAAUGUGUGAGAGGAGACGCAAGGGCGGCGUGUGCUUGUGAGCCAUGAGGCGGAAGGCAGGCAUGUGUGGGUGUGUGCGCUGUGGUGUAACACUGCGCAUGCCGUUGACGACAACGCUAAGUAUGGAGGAGAAAGGUGAGGGUAGUGCGAGGAAAGCAGAGGAGGUGCACACGAGUGUGUGUUUGCGUGCGUCUGGACGGGAGCAUCUGCCCUCUCCGUAGGUGGCAGGAAGCGCGAAUUCGCGGAUCAGGGCGGAGAAGGGGGGAACGGUGUGUGGAAAAAGUGUCGCGAGCGGCUUUCCUCUCUGCCGUGCUAAGAGUUCCACGGCCGCACCUUCCACCUCCCUACCACCACCAACACGAUCUCUUUUCCAGCCAUCAUCGCG